rnacentral:rRNA from 1 species
AGAGUUUGAUCCUGGCUCAGAUCGAACGCUGGCGGUAUGCUUAACACAUGCAAGUCGAACGGAAACGAUACUAGCUUGCUAGUAGGCGUCGAGUGGCGGACGGGUGAGUAACGCGUAGGAAUCUACCUAAUAGUGGGGGAUAGCCCGGAGAAAUCCGGAUUAAUACCGCAUAAUCUCUAUGGAGUAAAGGGGCCCUCUUCUUGAAAGGUUUCGCUAUCAGAUGAGCCUGCGUAAGAUUAGCUAGUUGGUGAGGUAAAAGCUCACCAAGGCGACGAUCUUUAGCUGGUCUGAGAGGAUGAUCAGCCACACUGGGACUGAGACACGGCCCAGACUCCUACGGGAGGCAGCAGUGGGGAAUAUUGGACAAUGGGGGCAACCCUGAUCCAGCAAUACCGCGUGUGUGAAGAAGGCCUGAGGGUUGUAAAGCACUUUCAAUUGUGAAGAAAAGUUA